rnacentral:rRNA from 1 species
UACGUAGGGUGCAAGCGUUGUUCGGAAUUACUGGGCGUAAAGGGCGCGUAGGCGGGCUCGUAUGUCGAUUGUGAAAGCCCUGGGCUUAACCCGGGAAUGGCAGUCGAAACUGCGAGUCUUGAAUGCUUGAGAGGAUGGCGGAAUUCCCGGUGUAGAAGUGAAAUUCGUAGAUAUCGGGAAGAACACCUGAGGCGAAGGCGGCUAUCUGGCGAUGCAUUGACGCUGAGGCGCGAAAGCGUGGGGAGCAAAC